GCCCGGCCCUGGCGUCUGCUAGGGAGUGAGGGGGCUGGGACGGCCGAGGGGUCCCGCCGCCCCGAGAGCCGGGGGACAGUCACCGCAGCCUCUGACGGGAAGGCCGCCCCGGGGAGGAAGGUGGCCAGCGUCGCUCAUCAUCCCUCUCUGCUCAGAGCCGAACCGCCUUCCUGGCAUCUGAUGACCGCGAAGGGUGAGCUGAAUAGGAAAGCAGUGGGUGCAGUACAGCUGUGUUAAGAGAGACAAGACCGGCAGCAUUGGCAACUGGCAACUUCUGUUUUCCAAAGAUGUAUGCUGAUCCCAGAGGUUUGAGAAGAGUUUUUAUUAUUAACAUAUGUGAAAGACCAGCAGGUGGAAGGCAGUUCCUAGAGCCAUGCCCUUUCUGAGUAUGAGUGCACGAACUCUCUGCUUGGUGAACACACUGGCCAGCGAGUAGGUGAUGCUUAGAGAGGGAGCAUGGCCCUUCCUUGGGCUCAGAGGGCUCCUUCCAGAGAGCUUGAGCAGAGGCAGCGGCAUUCUUUUGAUUAUUCUCUUCCCAGUGGGAGUCCUACAUUAGCACUGACAUGAAAAUGGCAUCCCAUUACUGCAGGAUGGUUGAGAAUAUGAUGAUAACUGGAACGUGUGCCUCUGUAG
ensembl:lncRNA